UCCGAAAAGUUAAGCUUAACCUGCUAGAAAAGAAGGUUACUCCUACUAUCGAAGGUGGAGUAGAGGCAUCACUCGGGCGGAGGAUCUGCUCGCGUGGCUGAGCCGGCGGGUCUGGGGCUAGGGCACCGAAGGUGGGGAGGGGAUGUGCUCACCGGUCUGUGGGUGCAGAGGCGGCCAGACGAGGUAGAGGCGGGAAUGGAGAUUGGGGCAGGCGCCAGGCAGAGGGUUGGGGGCUGCCGGCACAGUCGACGGAGAGAUUGGGGUGAGGGUGGCGACAGAAGUUAAGAGCGGUGGAGGGUUGGGGAAAACGCGGAACCACCGUCAUCGUCGUCGUCGUGGAAUAUUCUUUCCUCAUGUAUGGUUUCUCCCGCAUUGGGGACAGCAAGAAGGUCUCCCAGGCAUGGAAGACCAGCUGCGUCGGGUUAGGUUCGCUCCACCCUUCUCAAGCUGGCCUAUUGGUUGGUAUCAAGGAUUAGGGAUCCGUAGUGGUGAGGAUAACUGGCUGCCCUAAUGGAUGUGCCAGACAAUAUAUGGCGCAGGUUGUUUUCGUUGGUGAUGGUCCAAACAGUGACCAGAUUUGGCCUGGAGAAACACCAAACCAGACAACACUGGCAGAAACCUUUAUGAAUAAAGUGAAGCUUCAAGUCUUCAAGAUAAGGUGCCUCAAACAGAUGGAACAAACCAAUUACAACCACAAGCAAAAUGACACCUACUGCCAACUGUAUGAAUCAACACAAGCCAGAGCACGCGGCUCGAUCAAUCGAUCGAUCGAUCGUUCAGUGCCUGACGCUCUUCACCUUCUUCCACGUUUUAUUGCUGAAGUUGCCAACCACCCUGACGCCCUUCAUCACUGCAAUCUUCAGCUCCAUGGUCCGCUGCUUCACAUCGAAGCCUCCCAUCUUCCCGACCCUGCUAGGCUCCUCUUCGUCGGAUCGGAGGAAUCUGCUUUCCUUUCCGGUCGCGGGUGAGGAGGUGAAAGAUUAUGCUGAUUGGCGGUUGGGCCGGGCUGGCUACUUGUCGUGCGUCUGGACUCUAGAGGGGAUGACGCCGCUGGGAUAUAUAGCAAGUGCCGCUUGUGGACCUGGACGGGGAAGCUGUUCUGUAAAGUUUGACGAUGAGCGUGUACUGCACAGGCAUUUGAAGUUUGAAUCACAAGUCAUGCCACCCACAGCCCACACCACAGGACGAGAAAGAAGAAGAUAUCAACGUCUCAGAGAUGUCUGUUGGAGAUAUGCCCUAUAUUCAAUCAUGUCAUGAUGUUAUUUCUCAUGUAUUCAUGAAUUAAUGUUAUUGUCCUUGAACAUCAUCACUGAUAUAUAUCAAAUAAAUAUGUGAUUUGUUUGUGAGACUAUGUA